AACAUCAUGCACAGUACCCAGUAGUAUUCUCUUGCUCCUCCAUAGAUAAUUAAAAGAUAAAAGAAAACAUAAAGCUAUUACUAAAUCAUUACAUCAGACAUUGGACACAACUCAACUCAGGGUUUAUGCUACUGGAAGCUCAAUACUGGUUGCCGUCGCUGGUGCAACAUACACUUCUUCCUUCAGAGGGUGGAUGGUAACCAGAUCAGGCAAAGGUGUUGUUGGCCCUUGCUUGCCCUUUUGAUCCCAUUCAAGCAUGAUCUUCACCUUGAUACCAAGCACACCCUGUUUCCAUUUUAAGUGCAAAUAAUAAGAUUGCUAAUGCAUUUGUACUUUGAAAUGCAAGUAUAGCAAAAACAAACCAUAGUAAUCGCCGUUACCGCUCAAGCACAAUAACUGGCACAGAAAUUAACAUCACAAAAAUUAAACUGACCUGUCUAAGAAGAACAUGUCUUACAGCUGAGUCGAUGUAUUCAUUCACAGGUUGACCUGAGGAUAUCAUGUACCCAUCUUUAAAUUUCAUGGACUUUGCAC
rnacentral:lncRNA from 1 species